rnacentral:misc_RNA from 1 species
AAGUCGUAACAAGGUUUCCGUAGGUGAACCUGCGGAAGGAUCAUUAUUAAUGGAAAAAAGUUGCUGUGGUGCCUCCUUGUUUUCCUUUUAUUGGAAGAUGGGGUGGGGCCCAGUAAUUUCUUUCUUGUGAACUGGAAGCUUGAUAUGUGCCCUCUUUUUCUUUGAAGAGGGGGGGACUUUUGGGCUUUGCUUUUUGUUUUUUGACAUUUGUAUUUUAUUUUAUAUUUUUUUUUUGAUUUUGAGAUUGAAAUAUUAUCUCAAAAAGAAAAAAAAAACAACCAAGACAACUUUCAGCAAUGGAUCUCUUGGCUCUU